rnacentral:lncRNA from 1 species
AAUUUCUCUCGAACCCUCACCAUACUGUUUGAUUACUGUAAUGACCUAUAAAAUUAAUUAUAUUUUUCAAACUGUCCAUACUAGACAAUCAAUUGACUAAUGCAUAUAGUUCUCUCAUCUGUACAAAAAUAUAUAAAUAUACGAAUGUCAUAGAAUAUAUAUAUUAAUCAAAAGAUGGAUCUAUAAUUCUAUGCAAUAUAAUAUAUUUAUCAUUUUUAAAUUAGCCAUCUACCAAAGUAUCGAGCAGCAUUGCAAACGAGCAGAGUCGGGAUGCAGGUUCCAUGCAUACGGACUUGGGGUGCAUCAGAUGACUAAGCCGUGCUAUCACCCC